rnacentral:rRNA from 1 species
GUAGUCCACGCCCUAAACGAUGUCAACUAGCUGUUGGGGCCUUCGGGGCUUGGUAGCGCAGCUAACGCGUGAAGUUGACCGCCUGGGGAGUACGGUCGCAAGAUUAAAACUCAAAGGAAUUGACGGGGACCCGCACAAGCGGUGGAUGAUGUGGAUUAAUUCGAUGCAACGCGAAAAACCUUACCCACCUUUGACAUGUACGGAAUUCGCCAGAGAUGGCUUAGUGCUCGAAAGAGAACCGUAACACAGGUGCUGCAUGGCUGUCGUCAGCUCGUGUCGUGAGAUGUUGGGUUAAGUCCCGCAACGAGCGCGACCCUUGUCAUUAGUUGCUACAUUCAGUUGGGCACUCUAAUGAGACUGCCGGUGACAAACCGGAGGAAGGUGGGGAUGACGUCAAGUCCUCAUGGCCCUUAUAGGUGGGGCUACACACGUCAUACAAUGGCUGGUACAAAGGGUUGCCAACCCGCGAGGGGGAGCUAAUCCCAUAAAACCAGUCGUAGUCCGGAUCGCAGUCUGCAACUCGACUGCGUGAAGUCGGAAUCGCUAGUAAUCGUGGAUCAGAAUGUCACGGUGAAUA